GAAACAGUCCUUCCACCCCGAGGUCGCGGGGGAUCCUGGGAAAUAUAGUCCCAAAGACGAAAGAGCAGUACACGUUGCACUGGCAACAGAAAUACAUUUCCCAGUGUUCCUUGGGCUCCCGCAGCCUCGGCCCCCCCGGAGACUUUGCACGCAUGCGCAAUGCCGCCGCCUUGCCCAGCACGGGCUCCCAGGUUUUGUGAAGAUACAUAACGCAAAGUUAAGGAGAGCUUUCUGCGAGACUGUGGAAACUAAAAUGAGAAGGCCCUUGUUCUGCUGAGAAGAUCUGGAGGAAACCUGCUGGAACUUCUGCAUGCCGGUCCAGAGAGGCGGUGUGAUGUCACGUCUGGGCCAUAGAAAUCCACGUGAAGAGCUUUGGAGCUGACUGACACAAUUCCCCGCAGUUCCUUAUGGAUGCUGAGGAAGUGGAGCUCUGUCUUUGAUAGCUUUAACUGGAAUGGGCUGCUGACCUUGCCCACCGGAGUUCACGUGCUCUCCAGCUACCUUAGGAUACUGUGGCUCCCGGGCUGGGUUGAAGAAAGGAAUACCCAUGAUGUCCAAGAUUACCCAGGGCUCCUCAGAGGAGGUAUUCAACUCAGGACGUCACAUUUACCAAGCAAGUACUUACGCUGCUGACCUAAAUGCCUGCACUUUUAAUUUUUUUUAACAUAUGAACUUCAUUACCUCUUACUAUUUUAUAAUGUAUUAUCUUUUGUAUUCAUAUUUGUGGUACAUUAUGAUUACAUUCUUGUGAAGUUGGCAUAUUUACUGUGUGGAAUAGAAAUUAGUUCCUUUCUUUUGCAUAGGGUGGGAAUUAUAAACCACAGCUUGUCUUCAGCAUCACUUGUACCAAGCAACCCAGUCCCUGUCCCCUGGCACUGUCAUCUUUAGGCACAGCUGGGUCUGGGAGGGCCUUUCUCUGUGGCCAGUACAGUAGGUAGUAGUGCCCAGUGUGCCUAGCAACAUGUGACAAGGCAGGGGAGUGUGCGUGGUCCCAGAGGGAGCCUGUGACAGCCUCCCUGUGGAGCAGGUGAUGAGCUUCAGGCUCUCUUCAGUGACUCCAGGUCAUUCCUGUGUGAGUUCAUGGGCACAGGAUCAGGCACGGGGCUGCCUGCAGCUCCUACACUUUGGGCAGUAUUUCUGGGAUUAGAGGGAAGAGGCCUCACUGAUGACAGAAGACCCAAAAGGUAUAUGGCAAGUACAAUUACCCCUCCACCUGCCAGAUGUCCAAUUAAACGAGUUCAUGUUUCUCAAAGUCACACAGUGAUUUCUAAGCCCAAUGCGGGUUAAAAGUAGAAAAAUUGAUUGUAGAAAGGAAUGUGAAAUACUAAUGUCUUCUGAGAGACAGGAGCUCUACCCAAUAUGCUGCUGAUGAGGUGAUGAAGAUUUAGAGCAAGGUGGGUGCAGUGUGGGACAAAAAUAUGAUCAGCCAAUAAGAUAACAAGUAUAGUCACUUAGGUCAUAUUGACCCAAUGGGAAGCAGGUCACACAGCAAGUAUACAAGGAUCACAUCUUUUUUUUUUUUUUUUUUUCCUCUCAUCUUUUUGAGAUAGGGUCUUGCUCUGCAGUUCAGGCUGAUUUUAAACUCACUUUGUGGACCAGGCUGAUCUUGAACUGGUGUUGGGUCUGCUGCCUCAGACUUUGUGCCCUCUCAGUAUUGCAUACCUGCCUUACUCCUUAUGAUUUUAAUAUUUCUAUCUGUGGGGUGAGGAUCAAACUCAGUACCUUGCAUUUUCCAGGCAGGUGCUGCCCACUGAGCUAGAUCCCCAGCCUUCAUCUUUUUUACAUGCACCUCCAGCUACGGUUUUGAUGAGUUCUCAUUUUUUGCCCGACUCCUCUGCCCUGAUUGACUGUCUAGGGUGUUUCCUACCUAACUUAGCUGUCUGUCCAACUGGGACCAGCUUGUCCUCUCCGCACAGCUCACACUGCUGAAAGGUGGGAAAACAUGUGGAGUCUAUGCACAUCAGGGCCAGUGAGAGGGAGAGGUGAGUGCAGAGCCUGUGUCUGCAACCCCAGCUGGGAAGCCCUGGAAUGAAACUCACAUCCACAGGGUGGAAUAUGUUGGGGUCAAGUCCUCAAUGCACAUGAAGUGACAGAAAAGCUGUGGCUUAGCCGAGGGUAUGGCUCAGCAGCAUAAGUAGUUGCCUGGUAAGUGCGAGAUUGUGAGUUUGAUUCCUGGUACCCCCCCAAAAAAAAUUCUUUAGUGGCUUGAGCAAGCAACGGGCAAACGAGGGAGAGAACCAGCCAGCGUCUCCCGAGAUCCCAAUAUGUUGGAUCUUGAAGGGUGCUUGAAAACAAAUCAACCUGCUCACCUCCCUGAUAAGGAGCUGUGAACCUACAAGAAUCAAACAUCCCAUCCUCCCACACCCCGUUAUCAAAUGGGAACCAGAGAUCCUAGCAUCUCUUGGGAGGAUACCCACAUGCAAGAGAGCAAAUAAGGGGGAUUUCCUUCCACCAUCUCUUUGAAGACAAAUAUUGCUAUCACUGUUUUACGUGUUCAGAUUCAUUAUAUUGUGCUACUCAAUAUUCUCCUUUGAGAAGUUCUAUAAUGUUCUGUAUUUGGUUUCAUUUUGCUGUACCUGAUUGAAAGAACAACUAUUGUGAAUAUAAGAGAUAUGGUAUGGUACUUAUAACAGUUAUCCCGGUAACCUGCUAUGAAGUUCUAUACCAAUUUCACUGUAUUAUCUCAGUUGGCGUUGUUGGGUCUUGAUCUGUUGUAUUUUACUAACUUUAAAGUAAUUUAAAUUAUGGAAAAAAAAGAGAAAAGAGCUGUGUCUUGACACUUUCCACCCAACAGCAACUAAAUGCGUCCUCAAAUGAAGACAAGGAGGAGGACACCUUGAGGAGAGGCAUCAGACAGACCCUGUGUGGAGAGCUGUGACGAACUCCUUUGAUUCUUCAUAUUGCAUUCCUUAAUUUCCAGCAACAAAUAUAGACUGUCUGACAAAAAUAAUUAAAUAAUUAAGUAAA